rnacentral:rRNA from 1 species
GACGAACGCUGGCGGCGUGCUUAACACAUGCAAGUCGAACGCGCCUGUCCUCUGGGUUUCUGGGGGGUGGGUGAGUGGCGAACGGGUGAGUAACACGUGAGUAACCUGCCCCCUUCUUCGGGAUAACGGUCUGAAAGGGCUGCUAAUACCGGGUAUUCACUGGUCUCCGCAUGGGGUCUGGUGGAAAGGUUUUUUUCUGGUGGGGGAUGGGCUCGCGGCCUAUCAGCUUGUUGGUGGGGUGAUGGCCCACCAAGGCUUUGACGGGUAGCCGGCCUGAGAGGGUGACCGGUCACAUUGGGACUGAGAUACGGCCCAGACUCCUACGGGAGGCAGCAGUGGGGAAUAUUGCACAAUGGGCGCAAGCCCGAUGCAGCGACGCCGCGUGAGGGAUGGAGGCCUUCGGGUUGUGAACCUCUUUCGCCCGUGGUCAAGCCGCGACGUGGGUCGUGGUGAGGGUAGUGGGUAAAGAAGCGCCGGCUAACUACGUG